UCCUUGAAGCAGUAGCUGGUCUCCUCGCCGUCCCAGAUGGAGCGGGGCAGCGGGAACUUGCGGCGCACCCGGUACUUGCCCACCGCCCCUAGGGGUCGCCCCCGCAGCUUCUCCGCCUCGAUGUAGUGCGCCUUCAGCCAGAGCUGCUGUAGCUUGGGGUGGUUGUGCGCCGAGAACUGGUGGCUCUCCAGGAUCUUGUAGAGCUCGCGGAAGUUGCCCCGGUGGAAGGCCACCACCGCCUUGGCCUUCAGGACGCUCUCGUUCUUGUGGAGGUGCUCGCAGGCAGGGAGGGACCAGAGGAACCGCCCCAGCCGCUCGAUGUUGCCGCCUUGCUGGAGCACCUCGCAGACGCAGGCCACUUGCUCUUGGGUGAAGCCAAAAGUCGGGAGCAUCGACAUGUAUAAAUGCACAGAACCCAGUGGACCCUGGAGCCCACUCCCAUCCUGCACAGCAAGAGCAGCCCAUUGCUGGCCCAGAAUAUGUGGUAAAGAAACCUUGCACUCCUGGUGAAGAAUUUUAUCUUCAGACAAAUGGCAUCACCUACCUGUUCUGAUGGGGUCUGGUUUGAUGGCAGCAGAUCCUGCCCCUGCUGAAGAGCAAGUCCCAGACUCCAAUCUGACAGAGAUGGGCAGUCUGGACCAAAGCAAUCUCAGAACUUUCUCACAUUUAAAGACACACUUCAGGUUCAAGUCUGAGAUGUGCUGGUUGAGACAUGGAUUUUUUGCUGGCACCAGGCUCCACCAAACUCCAUGGGCUGACACAGCCCUACAGAAGAACAGGGAAAAAUCAAAGGCAACUUUGGAUUUCUGGGGAGCAUAUUUUGGACUACAGCUCCAGAAACUUUUACAGUGACAAUACUUGACUGUCCCUCAGAAACAGUCACUACAGCUGUUGGCACUGUGGGGAGCUGUGAGAGGCAGCUGGAGUUGUGCACCAUUCUCUUUCUUAUCCCACCAUGUGCAGGGCCAUCGUCUUAUCUGGAAAGCGAGCAAUUGACGUGUCUGGAGAGAGAUUAAUAAUGGAGCAGUGCUGCUGCAAUAAAAACUGUCUGGACAGGUUCCACUCAUCUAUUUCAUUUGUAAAAGGGCAAACUUCAAAAGCAUAAAUUUGUAUUCCAAAUGUGCUACGAAAUAUUUCGGGUGGGGAGGGUGAAGCGAGGACCUCACAGUGUUGCCUCCUAGAGUCCUCUGCAGCUGCAUAGUCCUCAUGGAUGGCAUAAACAGCAGUGACUUUUACACUCUGUGCUGCUAUAGUACUCUUCCAUACCAUCACAAGGCCAUUCUCAGCCUGUAGACUGUAUGAAAGCAGAAAGAUGACAGUAUUUGCUGUCUUUCUCUCAAUUCCAAACUCCAAGAUAUGCCAAAUGUUUUGUGUAAAAAGUGAAAAAUGAAGCAGUAAUUAUUUCCUAGGAAGAGCAAACAAAUCCAAAGCAGAAGGGAGGAAAAAGCAGUCUCACUUUUGAAGAGGAAAUCCUCAGGAUGUUUACGGAUUCCAUGUGCCCUUCUUGCUACAGGAGCAUGGCUGAAAGGAUGGGCAGGCUCUUCAUCAUGCCCCAUCUACUGGACAGAGGUCUAUUUUAAUGCAAGACCUGGUGUUUGCAGUCAGAAAAGUUGGAACACAGAGUUUGUCAGAGGAACAUCUAAUAGUCAGUCAGACUGAAUAGGAGUUGUGAGAAAGAGGAGUGAAAUAUUUGGCAACACACGAUAUCUGGAUUUUUGUUCUUUAUUCGUGGGGUCCAGUAAAGUGGGAUAUAAAACAAACCUCAUACAUUCUAACAUGGAAUGAUUUUGCUUGUAAUUUCAAAACCAAAGUGGUUUGAAUUUCCUGCAUUGCCACGGUUAGCCACACGUGCCUCCUCCUAACUCUGCUUGCAUUCCCUUUCCAGCUCCCAUAAUCUCCCAGUUCAUCCACGUCUGAGGAGGUGAAAAGGGAGAUUUCAGAAGAACUUGUGGAAGAUUCUUGCUGCAGGUGCAGAGAAACGCAAACCAGCUCACACCCAAGGGCAGUGCAGAGGCACUCCUUGUGACCCACAUGAGUUAGUGCCAGCACCAAAAGCAAGAUUCCUGCUUCAGCACCAUGCUGAGAAACCAGGCCAUAUCCUUCUCCAACUGCACCAGCAACUCUGCCUGACUCCACAGGACACUCUAUUAGUGUUAGGGCAGGAAUCUUUGCAGAGUGCUUGGAGCACUUGUGGGCUCAGUCCCCUUGUCGGAGAAGCCAGUGCCUUCAGCUGCAUUUUACUUGUGUGGGAAUUGUUGAGCUCACUCCUGUUGCCACAGCUGCUUUAGGAAAACACUUAGUUAAAGAUGAGGGCAAGCACACUUUAUAGAUGUAAGCAUAUGGCUGUCACACUGCUGCCCAACAGCUUCUAUAGAUAUGUGGCACGUUGUGCUAUCCAAAGCACUUGGAAUUUUUCUGACAACAAAAGCUAACAAAGGCAGCUAUUACAGCUUUAUGUGGCACUUGCUUCCUGAUAGAAUUGCCAAUCCAGUGCUUUGAAUUCUGUGCCAACAGCUUUGACACAAGUGAAAAAGCAAGCGUUGCUUUUAACAGAUGUGAAUGCUUUCGUUGCAGUGAUCACUGCUUUUUCAAAAUUGAUAUCACGUACGUGGGAUUGCAGAUGCAUACUUUUACCAAAGUGACAACUGAGGUAACUUUUGUUGGGAUAAUAAUUGGAAUAACUUGCAGUGGCAAGCCUUUAGGAAUCAAAACCAAGUGGCAUCAUCUAGCAGCCAUUUUACUGUCCUUCAAGUGCUUGUACUGAACAGAGGCACAACAUGUGGCUGGCAUGGUAGGCAAUGUCCUGCACUACAGCUGAAGCGUUACUCCAAAAGCAAGCCAUGCUGCUGAAUUUCAGGGAAUCUGCACCCCUUUCAUGACUGCAGAAUGAAGACAAACACAACAGCAUUAUACAUGAAAUUAAAUAGUCUCAAUUUGAGGACAGUUUAUCCUCUAGUUUUAGCCUUUCUCACUCUGUUUUUCCAUUUCUAAGAAACAGCUACUGAAAUAAGAUGAUAUUUCUUGCUCUGCUAGAACAAGGUUGUCACAAUACCCUAAGAACCGGGUCCUAUAUAUUUGGUUCAUUUAAUGGCAAUUUCAGCAAGAAUAUGGUAAUUAUUAUGUCUGUGAAAGUGAUGAAUAUAACCUGGAGAUACUGGAAUGCUGAAGACUGUCUUCCAUGAGAAAAGCUCUUCAGACAGGAGUCACUGAGGUUUCUUCAAAAGGCUGGAGCUGACAAACAGUUCUUCUGCAGAAGGUGUGCUCUGGCUGAGGAGCAAAUCCCUCAAGUGAAGGAGCUACAGGAAGCAGUGAAAAGGCUAUGUAGUAUUCGAGCCAAGGAGCAAGAGAUAGACCAAUUGUUUUCAGAGACACUACAGCCUCAAGGCUCUCCAGGGACUCCAACCUCCGUUGCAGUGGAGAAAUUGAUGGACUUGAUGGAACACUGCAGGGCAAUCAGUCAAGGGACAAAUUAGUCAAGGAUCUGUUAAAGAUGAAGGCUGGAUAUUAGAAAAAGGUUCUUUACCCAGAGGGUGUCUGGGCACUGGAACAGGCUCCUCAGGGAAGUGCUCACAGCACCAAGCCUGACAGAGCUCAAGAAGUGUUUGAACAAUGCUCUCAGGCACAUGGUGUGACUCUUGGGGUGUCCUGUGCAGGGCAGGAGUUCAACUUGAUGAUCCUUGUGGACUGAAUGGUCCCUUCCAAGUCAGCAUAUUCUGCAAUUCUAUGAUUCUGUGAAGUACAUUGUCAAUUCUAAACCUUUGCUUCACAUGUGGCAAAUCUUGGCACUGUGUGCUAUUUGUCAAAGAAAGAUGUAGUCCAGACUUCACAAAGCCUUGUCCCUUGAAGUGUUUGUGUUGGGCUUGGAUGGCACAUGGUGUGCAGCCCAAUGCAAGUGAAGGUUGGGCUGAGGAACCAGUGAGGUUCUGCUUUGAGUCAUCUGCUGAACAGAAGCAGGUCUGACACAAUUCCUUACUUCAACAGAUUCAUCACUAAAGCAGAGCAUGAUCUGAAUGAGAAAAAACUAUACCAAAAUUUUGUUUUUUUGCCUGGCUGGGAAAAAUAAUUUUCCUGUAAUCUUCGUUAAGCUUUGUUACAAAUGAGAAAAACCCAUAUUUUGCAAAAUGAAACCUUCUUUUAAAGUAAAA